rnacentral:rRNA from 1 species
CAGACCUCUAAUCGGAAAAGACUACCCGCUGAGUUUAAGCAUAUCAUUAAGCGGAGGAGAAGAAACUAACCAGGAUUUCCC